UACGUAGGGUGCAAGCGUUAAUCGGAAUUACUGGGCGUAAAGCGUGCGCAGGCGGUUGUGCAAGACAGAUGUGAAAUCCCCGGGCUCAACCUGGGAACUGCAUUUGUGACUGCACGGCUGGAGUGCGGCAGAGGGGGAUGGAAUUCCGCGUGUAGCAGUGAAAUGCGUAGAUAUGCGGAGGAACACCGAUGGCGAAGGCAAUCCCCCUGGGCCUGCACUGACGCUCAUGCACGAAAGCGUGGGGAGCAAACAGG
rnacentral:rRNA from 1 species